rnacentral:rRNA from 1 species
AUUUGACCUCGGAUCAGGUAGGAAUACCCGCUGAACUUAAGCAUAUCAU